UCCACAAGCCGUGCAGAGCGGCUAAAAAAAAAAAAAAUUAUUUUCAAAUAACCUGACUCUGGAGACUAAAUGGAAAGGGGGGCCCAGGGAGAUGUAGGGGGUGGUUAGGCAGCUCCAGGAACCCUUUUUCUUCCCGCACCAGGGCAGGGGCAGGACGUGGUAGAUGAGUUGUCAGGCUCUGUGAAGGUAAGGGCACCAGGAAGUGCUGAUGGAUUGAAGGUGGGAUGUGAGGGGAGAAAGGGGUGUCAGGGGUGACUCCAGUAUUUCUAGCCUGAGUCACUGAAUGAACAAAGUUGCCACGAGCAGAGUACUAUGAGGAAAGCAGGUUGGAGGGAGGCGGUGGUGGUGGGGAGGGAGAAUUCCAGGAGCUGGGUUUCAGGCAUGUGAUGUUUCAGACUAUUUUUAUAACAUCCAAGGGGAGAUACUGACAGGACAGACACAGUCCUUGCCUCUCUGGGAACCUAUAUCCUAGUGAGGGAGAAAUCCCAUCAACAACACAACUGAGAGACAACCUAACCUGUCAUAUAGUGCUAGGUGUCGUGACGGUAAUGUGAUGGGGAGUGGUGACUGUCAUAGUUGAUUGGGGGCAGCUUCAGUGGGCAGGUGACGGGAGAGCUGAGACCCAGGACAGGGACAGCAAAGCCAAGUUCCGGAGGAAGGAAUGAGCUUAGUGAGUUAGAGGAAUAGAAGGAAAGCAACUCCAGAAGGCUUACCCACAGCUGGGUCUUACUUUACAUGUGAUGGGAAGCUGUUGGGGGACUUUGAGGAUGUGGUCACCUGAUUUCCAUUUUUAAAAAAGGUAACUUUGGAGACUGGAUUAGCACAAGAGGGAGCAGGAAACCUGAUUGGCAGUCCAUUAACCACUGUCUAGCCAAACAGGACGCUGACUUGGAAGGCCAGUGGAGAUGGAGGAAAUCAGAGAGAUAUGGGAUCUGCUUUGGAGGUAGAGCCAGCAGGAGGAAAGAAGAAUCCAGGAUGCUGCUGAAGUCUUGGGGAGGUGCUCACGUGGAGUGUGAGGUCUCGCCUGACCCCAGGCUGGCAGGUGGCCUUUGUCUCCGCGAGUCAGAAGGGCAUCAAACCACGACCUGAGGUUUAACUGCACAGCCCUGCUCCUGCGACGGAACAAGGCUGCUAUUACGAGGGAACAGAAUCAACAGGGAAGCGGCAAGCGGGAGGCAAGCUUUAUGCUCUGUGGUUUCGCCCCAGUAGGAGGACGUGAUGACACCUCCAGGACAAAAGGAAAAGGAUCCUGAGAUGCGUUGUUUCCCGUCUACUCUGAGAUGCUUCCCAGUAGGAGGGGCACAAUGAUAGGCCAGCCAUGGCAGACCUCAACCGAGUAAGUUAUGAAAAGGCAAGCUAGGAAACCACACAGGCACACAUUUCCCUUGGGCAACAUCAGAUGAGAAAGCGAUCGCUUUUCCAUUGCAGGCGAAACAGAGAAACAGGAAACCCAAAGGCAACGACUUGCUUGGAGGCCUCCAAGUGCCGUGAGAAGAACAUGCCUGUUCAUUCAAGGAGGAUGAGAGACACCUAGAGCAGACCCUGAUGCAACCCACACCUUGAAGCCCAGCCCAGACAGUCUAGAUCAUCUGAAAACCAGCCAAUUUGCAGAUGCUUUUGUGAGAUUAAAUAAUUAUUGUUUUAAGCCACUGA